rnacentral:rRNA from 1 species
AUGCAAGUCGAACGGUAACGCGGACUUCGGUCUGGCGACGAGUGGCGAACGGGUGAGUAAUGCAUCGGAACGUAUCCAUUUGUGGGGGAUAGCCCGGCGAAAGCCGGAUUAAUACCGCAUAAAUCUCUGAGGAGGAAAGUGGAGGACCUUUCGAACCUUACACUAAUGGAACGGCUGAUGUCGGAUUAGCUAGUUGGUAGGGUAAAGGCCUACCAAGGCGACGAUCCGUAGCUGGUCUGAGAGGACGACCAGCCACACUGGAACUGAGACACGGUCCAGACUCC